GAUGAACGCUGGCGGCGUGCUUAACACAUGCAAGUCGAACGGUGAAGCAGGAGCUUGCUCUUGUGGAUCAGUGGCGAACGGGUGAGUAACACGUGAGCAACCUGCCCCUGACUCUGGGAUAAGCGCUGGAAACGGCGUCUAAUACUGGAUAUGUGAUGUGACCGCAUGGUCUGCAUCUGGAAAGAAUUUCGGUUGGGGAUGGGCUCGCGGCCUAUCAGCGUGUUUGUGAGGUAAUGGCUCACCAAGGCGUCGACGGGUAGCCGGACUGAGAGGGUGACCGGGCACACUGGGACUGAGACACGGCCCAGACUACGACGGGAGGCAGCAGUGGGGAAUAUUGCACAAUGGGCGGAAGCCUGAUGCAGCAACGCCGCGUGAGGGAUGACGGCCUUCGGGUUGUAAACCUCUUUUAGCAGGGAAGAAGCGAAAGUGACGGUACCUGCAGAAAAAGCACCGGCUAACUACGUGCCAGCCGCCGCCGUAA
rnacentral:rRNA from 1 species